CAUGUAGAUAUAUAUUUUUUGUGUGGUCCACGUUAUGGUUGCAUUGCAUGUUAUUCCAAAGAAAAUAUCGGCUCUAGUUUUGUUACGUCAAAUUUCGUUUAUAAUAAUCGUCUGUGAAAAAAUCGCACCAACUUAUCGUAUCAGAAAUAAAAAUAUUGUGUCUAUCGAUAUAAUGUCAACAAUCGUAAUCGGUAGGUCACGUGUCGUUCUAUUUCUUUUUUUCCGCCGCCAUGGUGAGCUCGCUGUUGUCCGUACAUACUAAUUAUUUAAACAAAAUGAAGGCCAUGCGGUAGCUUGCAUUGUCUGUAGUUUGAUAAUGAUUACAAUGUAAUUCAAGCGUAUUUGGAGAUUUCAACCGGGGUGGUGCUGAGCUGACCCCACGUGUUGCCGGAGCAAUAGUAAGCAGUACCUACUAUACUCUCGCACCAGCAAUCCAAAGACUGCCUCCCUGGCUAGCUACCCAUGAUCAAAGGUAGCAAAGCAUGGAAAAAUUCUUGGAAAGGCAAAAGGAGUUGAAUGAUUCCUCUUGCAUUACCGAAUUGACGCAACAAAAAACUUGCCAAAGAUUUAAGGUUUCUUGGAACCAAUGAAGUCUGAGAUGUCCUGAGAAAACUAGAAACCUCGACUACUCCUUCGGUUUGAAGUCCAUCUCAUGAUAUUCUACAGAGCAAAUACUCUUCGUUGGGGCAGUAGCAAAUUGGGACCAGGUCGAUUGCGAUUUAAGAUUAUAAAUAUCCUGAAGCCGUAAUAUACUGCAAUAAAAAACGCCAUGUUGAAUGCGAAGGUUUAAUUUCGGAAAUAUCUGAAGACGUUGAUAUCCACACUGCCAAUUUAUAAAAGAAUUACUAUAAGGCUUAAGUUUGGUAAUAUCUACAGUUCCUUGCUAUACACUGAGGAAGCCAAUUGUUAAGUGGAUGUAUUUUGAGAUUGAACAGUUGAUAGAUGGAUGGUGGGGUAGCCUUGGUGUGAGCUGCUGUUAGUGCCAAUGACAGAAUUCUGGAGAAGAUCGAAUGACUAAAAACUGCCACAAUUAUUCUAUGAAUGUUAUCUCUAAUGGAUGAAUAAAAAAACAAAAGUUGUACUUGUAA